AAAGAUAAAUAUUUGCAAUAAAUGUGUUCACACACAUAUUAACACGUGCUACCUUCAUAAUCAUUUCAAUUUAGAAUAUUUUCGUAUCAGUCUCAUAGUUAUUUAGCAGUUAAUAUGUUAACAUACUUAUUUUCUUAACUCUAUUGCAAACAAUUGAAUGUAUUUACACACUGAUUUUUUUAAUCAACUCAUUUUUAAUUUUCGCAUUUUUAACCUUUGUAUUAGUGAAUUGAAAUUCUUUACAGACAAAUACUGAGUAAAAUUGUUGUUGAAAUAAAUAAAUUACAAAAUCCUUAAGAUUUGCAUCAACUAAAAUGAAAAUGUUUUUAGAAAUUAAAAGUUUUGUAUCUUACUGAACUUGGCCAUGUUGAGAUUUAUGCAUACGAAAACAAAAAAUAAUGGUGAUUGGUUAUGAAUUAAGGAAACUAAGGUGAAAAACGCCACAUACAUAGUUAGAUCUUUAGUUUAGCCAAGUAUUGUUUUUCUUUACAGCGUUUUCAUAUCAAACCAAGAAUUAGAAACAUAAUCAGAUCGUUAGAAAAAAAAACAGAAAUCAGAAAAGCUUAAACACACAAAAAAACUCGCGAAAUUGAUUGAAAACAGAAUUCAUGUAUGGUGUGAAAAGAUCACAUUAUUUUCAACGCAACUCUAACUCAUUUCACUAGAUUGUAUCACGUUUUUAUUAUAUUUACCACAAAUACUGAAUACGAAAGUCCAUGUUAUUGGUUAUAGACUACAUCAAUUUUCGAACAUGCCCAACAAUGUUGACACGAUGCCCAACUAUUUUUAUUGGUAUUAUCAAAGUAUGGUCCAAUAAUUAUGUAAGCAAAAUAAACUUAGCAUAUUUAUUUUACAUUUUUUAUAUUAGUAGAAGAAAGUAAAUCUGAGUAAAAUAUUUGGACCCGAAAUACCGAACGGAACUUGAUUUGAAAGCAAUAUUAAACACAAACUAAAACUGCUUAAAUACUCAAAUGGAUCUAAAAGUUAAAUAUCUUGAUAACCAGACCCAAAUCCUAUGCAAACUUGAAUAUUUUGAAUACCGAAAAUAUCUAAACUACAAUUAUAUAGUUAAAUAUUAUAAUUAAUUUAAAUUUUAUAUUUAUUAGAUAUUCAAUAAUAUGAAAAUAUCCAAAAUAACAAAACAUGUUCAAAAUGCUGAAAAGUUAUAUUUUUUUAUCCAUUUAAAUAGUUAAACUGGACAAUUUUUUAAAUGUAAAUUUAAGUAUUUAGUCUUAAAUUAUUCAAUUUUUUUUUGUUUUUUUCAUUAUUCAAAUUUUAUAUUAUUUUAAUUUUCGGAUUUUGAGGAUUAAGCAUAUUUGAAUUUUUGUUUAAAAGAUUAUUACAUAAUUAAAAUGGAUACCAAACCGAAAAUGUAAUGAUUCGAACCAAAUUCAAACAUAAAUUAGUAAAUAUCCGAAUCAUAUUUAAAUUUAUAACUCUAUAAAUCUGAAAUCUGAAAUCCGAAUAGAUCAAUUGAAUAUGAACGGAUAUCUGAAUGUCUAUUUAUUGAAAAUCUAUAAGACAAAUCUCUUAUUACAACGUAAAAUAAAUAAUCUAAUCAAUUAUUUCCCUAUGCGUACAUCGCAGGUUACUACCUACUAGCAAAGUUAUUUCUCUAUCCCAUUCUCUCCAAACAAACAAUCACUAUAUCCAUAAUGCUCUCUACUUGUUGUCAUGACAUUGACAAAACUGUUUUGUUCGUAUCUGUUCAUCUGCAUCUCCAUGUUUGUUCUCGCAGGUAGGAAUUAGUACACAUUAUGUUUUAUUAAGCAAGAAUUUAUAAAAUCAAUUAGUAAUUCUUAAAUUUUAUGCGUCUAGAUCCUUUAAGCAGAAUAUUUUAUAAGAAAACCAUUGAGAUAACUAUUUUGGGUCCACAAUAAAAAUAUGAUUCAAAUAUGAUUAGAUAGGUAGAAGAAUAGUUAAUUAGAUAUCCCUUUAUUAUUAAAAGAGAAGCACUUUUAGAGACUAACCUUUUGUUCAUGUGUUAUUAACAAGAAUGUCAUUUCCUAUGUGGCAACACCAUAUUCUUUCGCAGCCUCUUUAAGUAAAAACAGUUUCCUUACUAGACUUAUUACAUUCUUUGCCAUUAUUCAUUAAUUGUAGCUUAACAUAAUGUUUUAGUCAUGUUAAUUGGUUACAUGCGUUGAUAUGGGAGGUAAUAUCAAAUCCGGUAGUUUGUCAACCUUUUUGUUAACGUGUUUUAUUCUUAAAAAUCAUCAACGCAGUUAUUUAUGGUUUCAUCAAUAUAUCAAACUGAUGGGAUCAUCAUCGAGUAAAACCGGUUUAUAUAAAACGGUAUAAUUGAAAUAUAUCAAAACGAUCUUAAAUAGUAUUGUUUUAUUUUCAAAACUAUGUCUUUAAAAAUAAAUGGAUAUUUAUAUACCGGUUUAUAAAAUGGUAUAAUCGAUAUCACAAUAUAUCAAAACGGCUUAUUCAAAACCGUUCUAUAUCAUUAUAAAAUGUUAUGCUUUAUAUCAUCAAAUGAUCAAUUCCUUUGCAUGUUAACUAUGUUUUAUCAAUGCCAUAAUUCUCAAUGCAAUAUACUAUUUGAUCGUUUUAUGGCAGUUUAUUGUUAAUGAAUCUGAUUCAAAUUAAGCAAAAUAAAUAUAUUCCUACGUUAAUUAGUUGCAUUAACUCGGUUAAUUUAAGUUUUCUAAAGAUCAAAUAUGAAUUGUCAAUCACAUAUUACUUGCAUGACAUAUUGCAUGAGCUGUCAUACUAUUCUAAAUUAGGAAUGUAUAAUAUUUUAAUAUGACACUAAUUUGAUUAUAUAUGUACGUGUUUAUAACGAACGAUUUUGGUAAUGACAUUGAUAAUUUAAACCGAAUCACAUGUCAUAUAGAAACUAAAUUUGGAUCAGGUCAAAUUUUAAAUGCAUAUGUGAUCAUCACUGAUUGAUUUUUAAAUUUAAUUUGAUUGACCAGAUCCUCAAUUUGUUUCCUAUAAUAUUACAAUCCAUUGUUUCAAAUAUUUAUUUAGAAGCUAUUAAAAUUUCCUAGCGAGAAAAUGGAUUGCACAAUAAAUUUUAUUUCCUAACCUCAUUCCUCUUUUUCUUCGUCACAACACUGAUAGAGAAUAAAUUGAAAGUGUCAAUUUUUACAAUAUGAAAUAGUAACGUUUUUUAGUCCAGCCCAUCUUUUUCCUUAAAUGGGUUUAGAACUAUUUUCAAUGAUUAACUAAAUAGGACACAUAUAUAGUAGAAUGUGUUUUUGGUACAAAAAUUAAGGCAUACCUGAAAUAAAUAUGAACCAUCAUCACUUUCGUUUAAAAUUUUGUUACAAUAAAAAAUAUAGGGUUGAGAAAAAUCCGAAUCCAAAAAGCCUAACCAAAUCUAAUAUGAAAAAUUAGUACUGAAUUUUAACCAAAAUUGUAGAUAUCCGAACGGGUUCAAAAUUUUACUAUAUAGAGAACCGAAACCAAAUCCGAUCCAACAAAAAUAUUUUAGGUAUCCAAGUACAUUCAAACCAGAUUUAUAUACUUUAAUAUACUAAUUAUUUUUAAAUUUAAUAUCUAAAAGAAUAUAUAAAAAUAUAAGACGUUCUUAAGUUGUCAAAAAUACUUUGAAAUAUAUACAAAUAGUUUAUAGUACAUAUUUAAAAUAGCUAAACGAUAUUUAAAAUACCAAAAAUACUUAAAAUAUCUAUUGAUUUUCUAUCCAAAUAUUUAAUCUAAACCAAAUUUUAUGUUAAGUUUAAGUAUUUUGGCAUACAUUAUUAAAUUUAUAUGUGAAAUAUUAUUUUUAUUUUUAGAUUUUGAAAAUUUAAAGUAAAUAUGAACUUUUAUUUUUAAAAAAAAGUUUAAAUGGAUUAUCCGAACCCGCAAAAAUCCGAAUUGAACAAAAUCAAGCCAAACCAAAUGGUAUCCGAAUGUCAAUCCCUAAUCAAAUGUAAAAACUGAUUAUUGAUAACAAAAUAUGUAUUUUUUAUAAUAUUUAAAUAUAAUAUAUUUAAAAAGAAAAUUCAUUCCGCGCAGGGCGCGGGCUAUCAUCUAGUAAGAUAAUAUAUCAUUUAACAUCUAUCAUACAUUUUAUUAGAAUUCUAGGUUUAGAUACUUUAAAACUAAUUAUUUUAAAAUAGCAUAUAUGCUCGUACGCUUAUGUAAAUAUAUACACUUAAAUCUACUUUUAUGCUCUUUUUAAAUUUUGUUUGUUUUUAGCUUUUUUUUUGGCUUUGCCAAGUUCAAAUAGAACUGAUAUAAGAACAUUUAGUGUGACCUUGAAGUUUAACAAACCAUGCAGUUUUCAAGAAUGCCAAGCACCUUGUAUUCAGAACUACAAGGGGACUGGCAUUUGUAUCGGGAAAAACAACAGUAUUUGCAGUUGCGUUUACAGUUGCUAAGCUUAUAUAUUAGUAUGGCCGAAGAUCUUGGCCCUUCAUAGCUUCACUUUUCAGAGAAGGUUUAAAAGUGACCGUUAUCCAAGUUUGGACCUUGAGCUCUACGACAUUGUUACAGUUAAAUCACUCUUGAUGCUAACCCAAUUUACAUAAAUUUUGUAAAUAGUCGAUUAUAAUCCAAUUUCGAUUAGCAAUGUCACUGGAUAAAAAAAAAACUUUUGUAAGAACUAGCCUUGUGCUAAUUGAUCUGACCAUCCUUUUUAGUGUUUUAUAUUUCUAUCCGUUAUGAAGACUACUUUGUUUCAGGUUAAUAAAAUAUGAUCCUACUAUAUAAAAGAGGCUAAAUUGGGGCUUCCUAAGCACUGCCAUAUGGGCAAAAAAAUUCAGAACCAAUCAAUUUGCCAUGUCAUUUCGGACUGGGCUUUUGAAAUUAAAAAAAAAUUAGUCACUUUCGCAGUCCAUUUGACCCAUCUCGCAGCCCAAUCCCGAGCCUCUCUUGAAACCGUGUUGGUCGCAGCCCAUUAAACCCAUCGCGCAGCCCAAUCCAGAGCUCUUGAUACGGUUAGCAAUGGAACGCCGUCUCGAUCCCCUUUCUCUGAAAUCUCAAAAUCUGCGUUUUGUGUUUGAGUAGAUUAGGGUUUCAUUGUUAUGGUUCUUUGACUCUACAAUGUCCGUCUCCGCUAAUCUUAAAUCCGCAAACACGAUGAUUCCUUUUCUCAAUUCUUAAACCUUUCCUAACGUUCAAUGUAUUCUUCUUAAUUUCGCCAAUAAAUGUUGUUCUCACUUAACCCAAUAACAAUGUCGACCUUUCUGUUUCCUUCCUAUGCAUCAAACCUAUAAGUUGGAGCUCCUGCUUGCGGGGACUUGAUGAUCCUCCUGAUUGAGGUAGAUGAGUCCGGUCACAUCACUGAUUCUCGAUAGUCCUUUGGCUGUAACACUUCCAUCGCCGUUUCUUCCGUUGCUUCUGAAUGGGUCAAGGUAUCGGAAGUUUUGACUAUUAAUAGCCGGAGUCAUGGAAAACGAUGGAUGGUCUUCUCCGAUCCCCCGCCAAUUUCUCUCCUUUAUCUCCGAUCACGUUUUUGGAAAGAUCCGCCAAAGCUUACAGAGACCGAACCAGUGUUGUGUUUGGUUCCGUCGAGCACACUUGGCUCCAAACUUAUCACCGUUGUCUCCGUCUUGCAUCUGCGCUUACUCAACUAGGAAUAUCUCCCGGCGACGUGGUUAGUGUGCUCUAAUUUUCCAGGGCAAGCGCAAAGCAUCUUCCCUUGCCUCCGGUCAAGCUGCAUUACAGUAUGCUUGCUGAGGACGUCAUCAAGUCUGCUGUCAAAAACUACAAGAAGAAUAAAGCAUUUUCUGAUCCAGCAGUGGUUUGAUUCUACUGAUGAUGGUGAUGAUUAAUUUCAUCUGAAGAAAACUGUUGUGUUUGUGUGUUUCUUCCUUCUGUUUGCUUCCAGCAAGUAACUCAUGAUGUUUAUUAGCUAUUGAAUUUGCAUGUGCUGAGCUUUUUUUUCUUUUGUGUGGAACGGUUGCAGUGUCAUUUCAUGACAUGACUAAACAUAGAGGAUAAUAAUAUAUCUAUAUCUAUACAAAGUAUUUACCAGUAUAACCAUAUUUCUUGCUAUAUUUGAACAUGUGAACUUAUUUCACGUUGGAUUGGUUGAUUCUUGAACUCCAUCUGAUUCUUCAUGGUAGAUAAAGGACAAACAAACAUCUAGGUUUAGAUGUUCGAUGCAUUUAUGUGUUCGUUUCUUCCAUAGAUUUUCCGCCUUGGAUGGUCCUCUCAGGUGGUCGUUGGCCGGCUCUUCGUUUCUGGGAUUCAGGAAACAUCAAGAAAAAUGAAGAGUUUAUGGGUAUCACCCUCCUGCUUCUAUAUGCAAGAGUCUUACGGAUACACUCCCGUGCUAUAUUUCUUUUUAACGCAAACCACUUGGGUGGUGCCAUUACGGACGUUUUCCACGGGCUGAGACAAUUGGAGAGAUUGAAAGAAAGAACUUGCUUCAAUUGGAGAUCUUCAUACAUACCUCUCCAAGUCAACCGAUAAGGUCACUAUGACUACCAUCCUUUUUAAACGAAUACUAUAUCUAUUCAGAACCUGACAAAUGAUGUCUUCUCAAUUGUUGUUGUCAGGACCCAGGAAAACUGUCCUAUUAUACAUAUGAUUUAAGUUUCAAUGUUCAUAAGUAGCUUUGCCCUGUGAAGUUUUUGUCAUAAAAGAAUUUUUUUCACUGCAUUUUCAUAGAGGAAAGAUUUUACUGUAUCAUCAGAUAAUGUCAAAUCCUCUCUUAUUGACAAAUAAUAAGUGUCAAGGUUGUCUCAUCCAAAAGAAAAAAAAAGAGGUUCUCUCAUCCUAUUAGUGUCCCUAAACAUCCAUAUUAAGGCUGUGUUUAAGUUUCUCAGGGACCAUGCUUCUAUUGGUGUUUGGCUUUACCAGAGAAAAAUAGAUGAAUGAAAGUUCUUGAGAACUGGGAAGUGCAUUCUGGUCGCAUCACAAAGCUCUACACAUUACCACUAAAGGUUUCAAAAGCAGUGAAAUUCUUCAGGUGGAGGGUGGGUUUGGACGCAGCUUGGGAGUUGCAGUGAAUAUGGUCUUUACACGGAUUUUGAGAAAAUGGCUGGAAUUCAGAAGAAGAAGGUGUUGAUUGCAGAUCUUCACACCUACAUAUCCAAGGCCAGUGACCAUGUGUCCAUAACUUUGUAUUCCUAUUACGGCCAAUCUAUUUAAUAAAACAUGUCCCUACUAAUAUUUCCUGUAAUCUCCUUUGUGAAGAACCACAAAGCUCACUUCCUGUGUUAAGCUUAGAUCGUACGUCUCCUAAAUAAUCAAAGCUCAAGAAAUAUUUAAGUUUGAAUCCGCACAAUACACUCUUAGUGCUCUGUUUCUGGUACUCGAAACCUAAAUGAUGAAACUCACCAAAAAGAUGCAGUUACACUAAAGGGAACGAUUGUAGCUAUUUGCAACAUGAAAAAAACAAAUCCAUCGAAUUCAUGCAUAAAUGAAAAAUACCUCAAAAACAUUAUAAUGGACUAAGCACAUAGAAUCAUAUAAAGACCUUAUUGUAUCAACUUAACUUUACAGUCUUAUCGAGUUAUCGUAAUCACAUACAAACUUUAGCUUAAAAUAUUUUUUAUAUCUAAAUAUAUAGUAUUGAAACUAACGUUUUUAUGAGUUGUACCAUUUAUAUGUAUGUAUACUGCAUAAUCAGGUAAAUAUGCAUCAAGGAGAUUAUUAAAGGUUAUUUGAGCUUGAGGCAACAUGAAAGGGCGACACAAGUGUUGCAUAUAACUAGAAAUAUAUUUACGUUAGCAUCAAACUUGAAUCUAGCAAUAAUCUCAAACGAAUACAAGUAUACAACACAUGAUUCCCUCCUCCUACCUCUCUCCUUCAUUGCAUAACAACAAAAUUCGGAAUGCAUCAAAUCAAAAAAAAUUGACACUCUCAUAUAAAUAAAUAAAGCAUCAACUAAAAACAUAAACCCGCGCUUGCGCGGGGGCAAAGCCACUAGUGAUGUUAAAAAGCGUUAUAUAAAAAAGAAGAUAAUAUCUGACACAAAUAUUUUUAAAAUAAUAAUAAUUAAAGAAUGAAAUUGAUGAAUAAUCAACACAACUGAGACACAAAAUAAAUAAA